rnacentral:rRNA from 1 species
UACGUAGGGCGCAAGCGUUGUCCGGAAUUAUUGGGCGUAAAAGAGCUCGUAGGCGGUUUUGUCGCGUCUGCUGUGAAAGCCCGGGGCUCAACCCCGGGUCUGCAGUGGGUACGGGCAGACUAGAGUGCAGUAGGGGAGACUGGAAUUCCUGGUGUAGCGGUUGAAAAUGCGCAGAUAAUCAGAGGAACACCGAUGGCGAAGG